rnacentral:snoRNA from 1 species
UCAAACCCUAGUACCGCCAAAAAAAUAAUGGUACUAGGAUAUAAAAGAAAAUAAACCCAGUGUUUUCUGUCUGUCUUUUAGCAGCCCAGAUUGAGUUAAGAAAUGUAUCA